CAACCCUCGAGCCCCCCGUGGCCCGGCGUUGGGGAUCUGCCACGGCAGGCCCCGAAAUCCAGUGGCGGACCCGCUGGGCCCUCUCCUUGCGUAGUAGCAUCAGCCUCGCAUCGGGAGCCCGCGUGGCAUUCCUGCCUCUAAACCCCCCGCAAGCCCGCCCCCGGCGGCACCAAGG
rnacentral:misc_RNA from 1 species